UGGUGUGUUCAUACCAGCACUAAUGCACUGGAUCACAUAAGAACUCUGCAGGUAAGCGUGCUUGGGCGAGAGUAGUACUAGGAUGGGUGAAUUCAUUCAAAUUCCUCGUGUUGCACCUU
rnacentral:rRNA from 1 species